UACACACCGCCCGUCACACCAUGAGAGCCGUUUGUACCCAAAGUCACCUUAGCCAACUUGAAAGAGAGGCGGGUGCCUAAGGUAUGAGGGGUGAUUGGGGUG
rnacentral:rRNA from 1 species